rnacentral:rRNA from 1 species
UGGGGAAUUUUUGGACAAUGGGCGCAAGCCUGAUCCAGCCAUGCCGCGUGUCUGAAGAAGGCCUUCGGGUUGUAAAGGACUUUUGUCAGGGAAGAAAAGGCUGUUGCUAAUAUCGACAGCUGAUGACGGUACCUGAAGAAUAAGCACCGGCUAACUACGUGCCAGCAGCCGCGGUAAUACGUAGGGUGCGAGCGUUAAUCGGAAUUACUGGGCGUAAAGCGAGCGCAGACGGUUACUUAAGCAGGAUGUGAAAUCCCCGGGCUCAACCUGGGAACUGCGUUCUGAACUGGGUGACUAGAGUGUGUCAGAGGGAGGUAGAAUUCCACGUGUAGCAGUGAAAUGCGUAGAGAUGUGGAGGAAUACCGAUGGCGAAGGCAGCCUCCUGGGAUAACACUGACGUUCAUGCUCGAAAGCGUGGGUAGCAAACAGGAUUAGAUACCCUGGUAGUCCACGCCCUAAACGAUGUCAAUUAGCUGUUGGGCAACUUGAUUGCUUAGUUAGCGUAAGCUAACGCGUGAAAAUUGACCGCCCUGGGGAGUAACGGUCGCAAGAUUUA